rnacentral:rRNA from 1 species
UACAGAGGGUGCAAGCGUUAAUCGGAAUUACUGGGCGUAAAGAGUGCGUAGGCGGUUGCUGAAGUCCGCUGUGAAAGCCCCGGGCUCAACCUGGGAAUGGCAGUGGAAACUAGGCGACUUGAAUCUGGCAGAGGGGGGUGGAAUGCCGCGUGUAGCAGUGAAAUGCGUAGAGAUGCGGCGGAACACCGAUGGCGAAGGCAGCCCCCUGGGCUGAGAUUGACGCUCAGGCACGAAAGCGUGGGGAGCAAACAGG